AGGAGGAGGAGGAGCUGCGAAAAGCUGUGUAGAACGGAACCUCAAGGUCCUUAAGACAAGAGCAGAAUGUAACACAGCCAAACUAAUGACUGAGCUACAGAGGGAGAAAAUGACUCUUUUUCUUUCAUCUCCAAUACCACACAAAGCUUCUUCUGGUCCCUGCGAGACCAGUUUUCUGCUGUGCGUGGUCAGCGUUGGACUGGACAGACACUGACAAAGACAUCUGCUCACAGCAUUUGUUUGAAUCUAGCUGUGAAGUCACUCUUCAAACAGAUGCUCAACCAGUUUUCAGUCAAUUACCAGAGCAAACACAACACCUCUGUUGCAUCUCUCUAUUGAACAACAGCUCAUUCAGCAUUUCCCAGCAUGCACUGGGUUAAAGCACAAAUGAAUGGCUUAAAACGAACUAUUAGAACUAUUUGGGCAAGUGACUCUGGGUUAAAAAUAAAAUUCCAAUCCAAAAUAGAAACAAGUGGUAACAAUAUUGAACAGCACGUGAUUUGGUGUAGAACUGUUACCUUUGGUUAGUUUUUUAAGUUUACUAAUUUGUUCAAUAUUAUACCCUUUUAUUUUUAAAGUAAAACUGCAACUGCACAUUUUUCAUCAUAAUUCAAAGUGUAUUCUGUAGUUAAUUUAUCUUUUAAACAACUCUAAUAGUUUAAACAAAAAUGUACUUUGAAAUGUAUUUGAAUUAUUCAAAAGUGU